rnacentral:lncRNA from 10 species
GAGCAACGAGGCUGUUUAUUUCACCUGGGUGCAGCCGGGCUGAGUCUGGAAAGAGAGUCAGCAAAGUGUGGUGGGAUUAUCAUUAGUUCUCAUAGGUUUUGGGACAGGCGGUGGAGUUAGGGGCAAUGCUUUGCAGGCAGGGGGUGGAUCUCACCAAGUCCAUUCUCAAGGGUGGGGAGGAUUACAAAGAGCCUUCUGAAGGGUGGGGGAGAUUACAAAGCACAUUGAUCAGUCAGGGUAGGGCAGAAACAAAUCACAAUAUUGGAAUGUCAUCAGUUAAGGAUAUUUUUACAGUUGCUUCAGGCUAUCUGGAUGUAUACGUGCAGGUCACAGGGGAUAUGAUGGCUUAGCUUGGGCUCAGAGGCCUAACUAAAGACCUCACCCUGAGGAAAUAGUGCCCCCUGCUGCCCUCCUCACCAUGGAUGAUAAACUCCUACAGGGAAACUCCCGCUCCCCUUCUGGAGGAGUCCACACACAAGCUGCAGCAGUGGGGAGCUGGGCUGGAAUGAGCUCCCCUUCAGGGCACAGACCCAGCCCUGACGAAACCCCACGCAGAGGCUGGGUGCGGUGGCUCAUGCCUGUCAUCCCAGCACUCUAGGAGGCUGUGGCAGGUAGAUCGCUUGAACUCAGGAGUUUGAGAACAGCCUGAGCAACAUGGUGAAACCCCAUCUCUACCAAAAAUACAAAACUUCGCCAGGUAUGGUGGUGCACGUCUGUGUGUCUGUGGUCCCAGCUACUUAGGAGGCAUAGGUGGGAGGAUCACUUGACCUGAGGAGUUUGAGAGCAGCCUGGCCAACAUGGUGAAACCCUGUAUCUACUAAAAAUACAAAAAUGGGCCGGGCGUGUGGGUCAUCCGGUAAUCCUAGCACUCUGGAAGGCCGAGGUGUGCUGAUUACUUGAGGUCAGGAGAUCGAGACCAGCCUGGCCAACAUGGUGAAACCCUGUCUCUACUAAAUACACAAAAAGUAGCCGGGCUUGGUAAGUGUCUGUAAU